AUUGAACGCUGGCGGCAUGCUUUACACAUGCAAGUCGAACGGUAACAGGGAGCUUGCUCCGCUGACGAGUGGCGAACGGGUGAGUAAUGCGUCGGAACGUGCCGAGUAGUGGGGGAUAACGCAGCGAAAGUUGUGCUAAUACCGCAUACGUACUGAGGUAGAAAGUGGGGGACCUUCGGGCCUCACGCUAUUCGAGCGGCCGACGUCUGAUUAGCUAGUAGGUGAGGUAAAGGCUCACCUAGGCGACGAUCAGUAGCGGGUUUGAGAGGAUGAUCCGCCACACUGGGACUGAGACACGGCCCAGACUCCUACGGGAGGCAGCAGUGGGGAAUUUUGGACAAUGGGCGCAAGCCUGAUCCAGCAAUGCCGCGUGCAGGAAGAAGGCCUUCGGGUUGUAAACUGCUUUUGUACGGAACGAAACGGCCUGGGUUAAUACCCUGGGCUAAUGACGGUACCGUAAGAAUAAGCACCGGCUAACUACGUGCCAGCCGCCGCAGUAAAAC
rnacentral:rRNA from 1 species